CAAAAACAUAGCUAUUAGAGCUAAAUAAUAGUGAAUUCUGCUCAAUGAAAUUUAAAUAGCCGCAGUACACUGACUGUGCAAAGGUAGCAUAAUCAGUUGGCUUAUAAUUGAAGUCGUGUAUGAAUGAAUAAAUGGGGAGUAACUCUAUCUGGAAUAGAAAAUGAAAUUACUUAGUGAGUGCAAAUUCUCACAAAUACAUAAUAGACGAGAAGACCCUAGAAAUUUUCAAUAUCUGUAUGAUGGCCUUUUUGUUGGGGCAACAGUGUAACAUAUAAUUUACAUUAUAACACAAGAAAUUAAUUUGCAAGACGAAAUUACUCUAGGGAUAACAGCGUAAUAUUUGCAUGUUUGCGACCUCGAUGUUGGACUAGGAAACGAAUACUUAGAAGGUUAGCUGUAACGCUCUGUUCGAGCG
rnacentral:rRNA from 1 species